GCGCCCAUCGUCUAGCGGUUAGGACGCCGCCCUUUCACGGCGGAAACAGUAGCGGUUAGGACGCCGCCCUUUCACGGCGGAAACAGGGGUUCGAUUCCCCUUGGGCGUACCA
rnacentral:tRNA from 1 species